CUUUGGAACUCAAACAAGUGAUCACUCCCUAUUUUUUUGCCUUGGUUCUUCGUGCUGUGCUGCUGCCGUGCCACCCCCGCCGCAGCCGAGAGCUGCAGGGAGCUGCGAGCCCCGGUAGGCACCGCCACCCGGGAGAGGCUCCGCACCGAGCCGGGGCCGGCCCCUCCCCGAGACUGCGUCGGUUUCGGGGGGUGAGCGGCGGGAGCACAUCUCCCCGGUGACCGCAGCAACGCAGUGUCAAUUUCCCUCCAUACCCCUGCUCCAACGUAUGGUCCUCAAUGUGAGAUAAAAUCCUUCAGUGAAAGACUGCUCCAGUGUGAGGUCUUCCAAGGGCUGCAGUGCGGUGGUCUGCCCUGAUGUGGUCCUUUCCACUGACUGACUGCCUGCUACACAGAAGUACUUGCAUGCUGCAGCGGGACAACCUACCUCAGCAGACAAGAAGGAAAAUUGCACACUGAUUUCCAAGCAACAAUGAAAGACAAGAAGAACCUAGGUGAGAUAUGGGUAAGACUUUAAGUCCC